UCCACGCCCUAAACGAUGUCAACUAGGUGUUGGGUGGGUAAAACCAUUUAGUACCGGAGCUAACGCGUGAAGUUGACCGCCUGGGGAGUACGGCCGCAAGGUUAAAACUCAAAGGAAUUGACGGGGACCCGCACAAGCGGUGGAUGAUGUGGAUUAAUUCGAUGCAACGCGAAAAACCUUACCUACCCUUGACAUGUCCAGAAGCCCGAAGAGAUUUGGGUGUGCCCGAAAGGG
rnacentral:rRNA from 1 species